GUAGUUUGAUCAUGGCUCAGAUUGAACGCUGGCGGCAUGCCUUACACAUGCGAAGUCGAACGGCGAGCAUGAUCUAGCUUGCUAGAUUGAUGGCGAGUGGCGAACGGGUGAGUAAUACAUCGGAACGUGCCCUGUAGUGGGGGAUAACUAGUCGAAAGAUUAGCUAAUACCGCAUACGACCUGAGGGUGAAAGUGGGGGACCGCAAGGCCUCAUGCUAUAGGAGCGGCCGAUGUCUGAUUAGCUAGUUGGUGGGGUAAAGGCCCACCAAGGCGACGAUCAGUAGCUGGUCUGAGAGGACGAUCAGCCACACUGGGACUGAGACACGGCCCAGACUCCUACGGGAGGCAGCAGUGGGGAAUUUUGGACAAUGGGCGAAAGCCUGAUCCAGCAAUGCCGCGUGUGUGAAGAAGGCCUGG
rnacentral:rRNA from 1 species